GUGCUGUUUUAUUUUGACCGAAGCCGUAUAGAGAUUCCAUAUGAGAGUUAUUUCCCCUUUUUGUAUUUGAAAUUUUGAAAUGUAUUUUAAACUGGAAAACCAUAAGUGAUAGAGACCUAGGGUAUUUUGAUUUAAGAUCCUUGGUCCAAAAAAAAUGAAAAUUAGGUCAAGGUCAAAGGUCAAGGUCAAAUUGUAAAUUUUGAUUUGGGCUUAUUUUCACUUAUUUUCAUUAACCUUAUAAGAUAUCAACAAAUUAUUUUUACUAAAUUGUUAGUUGCGACAUGUCGUAACUUAUAAAUUUUGGUUGCAAGGGUGCGUAGACAAUAAAUGGGAGUUUUCGCCCCUCUUAUAUUUAGAAUUAUGCGUAAAGUGAUAUUACUCAUAAACCAUACAUAUUAAGGAACUAGUGUCUUUUGAUUCGAGAUGUUUAGUCUAUGACCUUGAAAUUGAGGUCAAGGUCAAAGGUUAAUUGGACGUUCUAGAUUUUGACCUUUGCUUUAAAUUAAUAUUUAUUCAUCAUAAAGCUAUAGGAACUGACAUUUUCAACUGAAUUUUAAUAUUUUCAUAUCAAAAUAGAUCUUUAUUAGUUGAAAGACCUUCAAUUGUUCUCUGAACAAUUGGUUUUUAAUUAUUAUUAUUAUUAUUUUUUUCUUCCGCCAAAUUUUGUCCUUGCGCAAAAUGUUUGUUUCGCAAUAUGUCGCUUAGAUAUUUCCCAUAUGGUAUCGUAUAGUUUAUGCGCUUUUAAAUUUCACCCUGCUAAGCAGAUCCAUUUUCUAUGUAAGAGUUAUCUCCCUUUUCACUGUUUAACCUCUGUGUGCAUCUCCUUCGUAACAAAAAAAGAUAGCGACAAAAUUCUUUUUACAAAUUGUUCGUUAUAUCCUCAGAAAUUUUUGGCUAAUUUGGAUCGAAGCGAUUCAAUGAAAUUUUAUAGGAGUUAUCUACCUUUACAAAAUAAAUUUGUCGGUAUGUUCAUUUAACUCAUAAACAGUUAACCGUAUAACCCUGGAAUGUUUUUAUUUGAGUCCCCUAAGUCCUAACUUAGAAAAUGAGGUCAAGGUCAAAGGUCAAGGUCAAGUUCUCAAUUGUGACUUUUGCUUGUUUUUGUAUUUUCUCCGACACUUUGAAAGAUACAUACUAAAGAACAAGUGCAAAAUGUCAACUUUAUUGUAAUGAAGAUAUGCUACAUUUAGUCUUAUACAAUUUAAUUGCAUCUUAUAGGAGUUGUUGCCCCUCAAAUGUCUUGAUAUGAGGUUAUUUGAUUAUGACUUCAACUAAGUUCAUUAUAAAGGCAUUUGACCUUGUACAAAAGAUUAGGUGACAAAUGACCUUGAAAAAUGACUACCGGAAGUGACCUUGAGAAAACCGGAAGUAGCUUUUUUGCAAUUUUUUCAUCUCAAAGUACCCAGAAUCAAUAUAUUUUGUCAUAUAGAUACAUACACUGAUUACUGGUGACGAAACAUGACUUCCAACAAACCGGAAGUGGCCCAUUAUUUCCCCGUCUACAUACAAUAGUAUAUAGAAACUUUAUAUUUUUGGAAUCAGUGUGAAAGAAGCUAUCAUAUGACACCGGAAGUGACAUUUAUUUCAUCGGAAGUAGCAUAUUAUCUCCC
rnacentral:lncRNA from 1 species